rnacentral:rRNA from 1 species
UUAGGAAUCUUCCGCAAUGGGCGAAAGCCUGACGGAGCGACGCCGCUUGCGGGACGAAGCCCCUCGGGGUGUAAACCGCUGAACCUGGGACGAAAACCCCCACAAGGGGACUGACGGUACCAGGGUAAUAGCGCCGGCCAACUCCGUGCCAGCAGCCGCGGUAAUACGGAGGGCGCAAGCGUUACCCGGAUUCACUGGGCGUAAAGGGCGUGUAGGCGGCCCGGGGCGUCCGGCGUUAAAGCCCACGGC